rnacentral:rRNA from 1 species
GUGGGGAAUAUUGGGCAAUGGGCGCAAGCCUGACCCAGCAACGCCGCGUGAAGGAAGAAGGCUUUCGGGUUGUAAACUUCUUUUGUCAGGGAAGAUGAAGAGACGGUACCUGACGAAUAAGCCACGGCUAACUACGUGCCAGCAGCCGCGGUAAUACGUAGGUGGCAAGCGUUGUCCGGAUUUACUGGGUGUAAAGGGCGUGUAGGCGGGAGAGCAAGUCAGGCGUGAAAACUAUGGGCUUAACCCAUAGCCUGCGUUUGAAACUGUUUUUCUUGAGUACUGGAGAGGUUGACGGAAUUCCUUGUGUAGCGGUGAAAUGCGUAGAUAUAAGGAGGAACACCAGUGGCGAAGGCGGUCAACUGGACAGCAACUGACGCUGAGGCGCGAAAGCGUGGGGAGCAAACAGG